UCUCACUUUUUCUCUUGAAAGUGUAUUUAGUUCCACUUAUCCCUUCAUUUUUAAGAGUAUAUUAUCGUAUAUUGAUGUGUAUAAUGGAGUUCAUCUUGCUCACAUGGGAAAUCAUGUAUCCAUUUAGGGAGGCUAGAGAAAAUGCCUUGUGUUCAAUAGGUCAUGCUCAUGCAUCGAAAAUUCAGCUUCAAGAUUUUUAGGGUGCUGGAUUUGGGAUUUACUCAGGUUAAUCUUUUCCUAAUGAUGUAUCUUGCUGUUCAAAUUAUUCAGGAAUGCAGCAUAUCAUUCGUAGCCAAUCAGAUGUUAGCCGGAGCAGUUUAAAGACCAUGUUUUUUGAUGGAGUGGAUAAGGCUUACAGCAAGAUUCGGGUUUCAAAUUUAACCUUGUUAUGGAUUCUAAAAGGAUUCUUACAUGGAGAAUAUUACUUGGAUAAGCUUGUUGGAAGAGAACGUUGGAUAGCUGCUUAAAAGUAUAGUAAGGUCAAGACAUGCCAUAUUGAUGACUUGUUGCUUGAUUUCUGUGAGGAGAAAGCCAAGGAGGAGAAUUUGAUACCCUGUAAGGGGUAAUGAAAGACCUCUAUACUGUUUAUUCCUUCUAUUGAAUUAUCUAGAGUAACACUUGACAACUUCUCUGAAGCUGCUGAAGUCGAGUUUAAAUAGAUACUGCACUUGACGACAACUCCUCUAACAACGGUACAUUCUCACUUUUUCUCUUGAAAAUUCAGCUUCAAGAUUUUUAGGGUGCUGGAUUUGGGAUUUACUCUGGUUGAUCUUUUCCCUAUGAUGUAUCUUGUUGUUCAAAUUGUUCAGGAAUGCAGCUUAUCAUUCCUAAUCCUAGCCAAUCAGAUGUUAGCCGGAGCAGUUUAUAGACCAUGUUUUUUGAUGGUGUAUAUUUGUAAGAUCAUCAUUUAAUUUAGUAUCAUUAAAUUUAAAGGUUGCUGUAUCAUGUGGUUCUUUUGAUGUUCUGAGAAGUAUUUGUGGAUCAUUGUACAUUAUCAUUGCUUUUAAAGGUAGCUAUAUCAUGUGGUUAUUUGGUGUUUUAAGAAGUAAUUAAGAUUGCUUAUUGUAUUCUACUCUUAGUGUGUUCUACCUAUGUGCUAUUUACGGACUCUUCAUGACAAGUGAUAAAUGUAGAUUUAGUGAAUAAAAGGCAAUAAAUUGUUAUAAUUUAGUUCACACUGGCAAAAGUAUGAGAUUCACUCGACUUUAUUGUUCGUAAUCAAUCAGUAUUAGUAGUAGCAAUCAGCAAGAAUUGAUAAGUACGCUUAUUUCUGAACAGUAGCUAAGAUUUGAAUCUGUGAAAGUAGGUUGGAUAUGCUAAAAUCAUAUUCUUGCAUACCUUUAUCAAUGCUGCCCCUUGCCCUUUGGAUGCACUCAGCUUCUCAAAUAUUGCAAAUAAAACUGGUCAACCUAGCUUCUAGCUGUACUGCUGUAGUCAAUGCUGAAGUUCGCUAACAAGCUAGUAGCUGGAGAGCUUGUUGGUUUUGGAAUUCAUCUUAUUUUUUCUUGAAAGGUUCCAUCGUCAAAAGGCCGUAAUUUUAACCUUGUGGAAAAGCUUGCACUAAACUGAAUUGCCAGAGAUGAGAACUGGGAUAUGUGUACUUUUCUUGAUUCUGAUAAAUCAUGUUUAUGGUGACAGCGAAGGUUCUCCCUUGCUCUUUCUAUUGUUUCCAACUAGUUUUUUCCCAGCAUUACAUUUGUACAUAUUGAAGUAUUCGUCAUGUGCUUCACUCUAUAUUCUUAGAUACAUAGAUAUUUAAAUGAAAUUGUCUUCAAAUCUUUUUUUUUUUUGUUUUGGAAGUUUUGAGCUGCAGUUAUGAAGCGAAGGAAUUUCCAAAUUUUUUUGAUGCUGCUACGGCAAAUGCUCCUGUUUUGAUUGUCUUUAAUGCACAUUUGUUACAGGUAGUCUAAAUCUUUCUGAGAUUAUAGCACAGAAGCCGAUUUGAAAAUCGCAGCUGGUUCCGGGCGCAGCUGAGACAAAUUUGGAAGACACAAGAAGUUUUUCACUGCUGAAAGAACUGUUGCUGCAAAUAGACGCCAGCGUGAGCUUUUAGCUAUAGCAGAGCUUAUUGGUUAUCUCGUAUUGCUCUCCGUUUGGUACGCGGGAUAAGGUGGGAUAAAGUGUGGUACUAAAUUUAUACUAUGUUUGGUUGACGGUAUAAAUUAAAUUUAUUCCGGGAUAAAUUUAUACCGUCAACCAAACAUAAUAUAAACUUUGUCCCCAGCUUAAUCCUGGAUAUCCCAUCUUAUCCCACUUUAUCCCAUCAAACUUGGUAUUAUUUUAUCCCACCUUUCCGUUGGGAUAAAUUAUUCUAGGGAUUAUAAUCCCUUGACUAUAAUCCUAGGAUAAUCUAGUCGCGUACCAAACGACCUCAUAAGUUUCCAGCAUUGAAAAUAAGUGAUGUUUAUUUCCUUUUAGGAAUAUCGACCUAGCAUUUCAAAUUCCAAUAAGGUUCAGGAGAGAGUAAAUUCUAUUCUAGCCAGUUAUUAUUCUCUAGGUAAGCUCCUUCUCAUGUGCUUUGAAAUGAAAGCUCCAACUGGAGAUUAUUCCAAUUUCCAAAGAUGGUCCUCUCCAAUUUCCUAGUAACGGUACGGGGAAAUGAUAACGGGAGUAACUAGGACCUCUAACCUUCACUAAUGGUUCAUUCAUUAUAAGCCAUAAGAUGAUAUUAUCUUGCUCUUUUCUUGUGGUGUUCUCACUGCUCCUACGUCUGAUGAAGGUACCAGAUUUCUCCUCUGUAUGUUCAUUCUUCAAAAUAGCUGAGGCGUUUGGAUCUGGAAGUGUCAGGCACCUGUUCUCACCUCAGUUUGUCAUGCAAUUUGUACCGAUUAUACCUAUUUUCUUGUUUUGUGCUGAGAUGUUGACAAUCUAUCUUCUUCUUUCUUGGUGGUGUUGAGGAACAAGGGAGGUAGGAGAGUUGAACUACUGGGACAGUGGAUUGUUCAAUUUUUCAACUGUCCGUUGCCAAAUGUGUGAUUCAAUAUGAAUGAUGUAUUCUCUUUCAAUCCAUAGUAAAGGGAAAAAGAUUUGUUAGAAGACAUA